rnacentral:rRNA from 1 species
GAUCAUGGCUCAGAUUGAACGCUGGCGGCAGGCUUAACACAUGCAAGUCAAACGGUAACAUGAAGAAGCUUGCUUCUUUGAUGACGAGUGGCGGACGGGUGAGUAAUGCUUGGGAAUCUAGCUUAUGGAGGGGGAUAACUACGGGAAACUGUAGCUAAUACCGCGUAGAAUCGAGAGAUGAAAGUGUGGGACCUUCGGGCCACAUGCCAUAGGAUGAGCCCAAGUGGGAUUAGGUAG